CACGUUAGAAUGGCUUGAGGGAAAAAAUAACCACUCCUUUCUGCUCCUGAUAAAUGCAGCCAGCUUUGCUGGUCUGGGUUUCUUAAAUGAUCUGCAUUUACAGCAGUAUCCAUGACCCAGAGAGAGUAUCAGUGUCAGGAAUCUGCCAGUGGGAAAGUGAUUUGAAGCAGCUCUGGAGUUCAAAUGGCCACAAGCGCAAGUGCCUGCUCUGCUGUGCGCUUGCCUCCGGAAAGAGGCCAAGUCUCUCAGAACCUUUGCUGUAUCAGCCAUGCUACACCCUGAGGAUUUGGAGGGGCUGGGGCCACUGUUAG
rnacentral:lncRNA from 13 species